UGCCAGCAGCCGCGGUAAUACGAAGGGUGCUAGCGUUGUUCGGAAUUACUGGGCGUAAAGAGCAUGUAGGCGGAUGAAUUAGUCAGAGGUGAAAGCCCCGAGCUCAACUUGGGAACUGCCUUUGAAACUAUCAAGCUAGAAUCCGGUAGAGGUUAGUGGAAUUCUUAGUGUAGAGGUGAAAUUCGUAGAUAUUAAGAGGAACACCAGUGGCGAAGGCGACUGACUGGGCCGGUAUUGACGCUAAGGCACGAAAGCGUGGGGAGCAAACAGGAUUAGAUA
rnacentral:rRNA from 1 species